GCCGCUUACGUUAGGUACUCUCCAAGUAGGGUCGAAUCUUGCCGAGGACUUCCAAUCUGACAAGGCGCCUUCCAAGAAGAAAUGCAUCAUAGCUGGCCUCGACAUCGGACCUGUUCCAGGAAUCAUGCUACCACACCACCAACUUUCUCUCUCCAGCAGAGUUUGGCUUGGUCCUGGGCUCUUGGCGAUCAGCAGGAACGCCGCCGCUGCGGUUUCAUAUAUCAUACACUCCAGGCGGCACAACGUGAUGGUGGUUUCAGAUAUCUUACAGUCCAGGCGGGGCAAUGUGCGAUGGUGGUUCAGAUGCCGCAGGAGACACAUCAAGCAUGGGUAGAAGCAAGGAGUGGCUGGGGGAGAGUUCUAUUACCAGACCAGGCUAAGUGUCGUUGAUAUGAUGUAUGACAUCAGGUUUGAGUUGGAAGCCGCAGUCGGAAAUGGAUACAUGUCAGUUCACGUGCAAAGCUAUUGUCAACAAAGGGAGGUCUCCGUGUCCCAUGGGAAGCUCGAGAAGCUGGUGCCGACUCUAUGGCAACAACUUGAAUGUCGCAAGACAUGUGGUAGACAAACAACGACUGGAUGCUGACUUGCCCAUGUAGAUGGUGCAGACAUCGGCGAAUUAAGACCACUGUGAGAAGAAUCCUUCCAGGUUGUUGAACAAAACAGAGAUAACAUACUUUAGAAUCUGCAGCCAACGACAGAAUGCAUCCAGGCCAGUGUGAGAAAAAAGAUUGUGCUUUAGUUAUUGGAAUUGUUUUCAUUCUAUGUUCAUAUCAUCAUUAUAUUAAUUUAAGAAUUUUGCGUUCCACUAUGAAUAUAAAAUGAACUAAUGCAGUCACGACUCACGACACCUUAUUUGUCCCCCUGCUAUACACCUAUAUCACCAUACAUGCUUAAAUACAGGGCACUGCCUAUGGACAUGAAAGAAUGAAAAAUGCAAAUAAUAAACUACUUCGGGUCUAUCUUACAUAUGAGAAAUCAUCUCAGGCAUUCUCCUUUAGCUAGAAUUUACUCAAGUUCUCUUUUUGUAUUACCAUUCAGCAAUCCUCUAUAUUCGGUUACUCGCCUAACCAAGAGAAUGAGGUACUAUUUAGUUUAUUCCGACAUAUGUUUUCUUGCAAACUAGGCAAUCUUACACAAUGGCUUGAAAUGAUAUUGUUUAAUGUUUAUAGGAAAAAAAUGUAAGGCUACACCAAUUUUGGCAUAAAUGUGAAGUUAAUGUAGAGAAAUUUAUAUAGAGAAAAUCAUAGUGUUUUUUAUUAUACAGGGAAAUCAUAAAUUAAGAACCACAUCUGACUCCCCCCCUCACCACCCUAGGUCCGACUAACUCUGUCCUGGCUUCGCCUCUCCAGUCACUACAGCUCUCACCGUCGUUGUAUUCUUAUAUACGCGUCCAUUGCAUCAGAGACUCUAACCACAACAUGUAGGCUAAGCUCGAGGAUCCUUUUUUUUUGUUUACAAAAGUAGAUAUCUCAUUACAGUUAUUUUACCUCUAAAUAGGACCGAAUUUUCUUUAUUUUAAUAUAAUUAAAUGUUGAACAUUGGUUGCAAUCUAAGCCAGCUCCAAUCUUUUAUCUUUUCAACAAAUUGACUGCUAUAUAUAUAGUUUGUUAUUUCGAGAUGGCAAUUGAAGCUCUUUCUACCAACUCGGCUGCUACUAUGUGCAGGCACUACACUUGCACAUCAUUCUGAUAACUAUUCGAUGUGCGCGGGUAAUUAAUCUUGGAUUUUAAAGGAAUUAAAUUAUGAAAACAAUCUGUGUAUAAUCUUACAUAUUUGAAGGAUGUGAAAACUCAUGAACAGUUGAACACAUUCUCCUUUCUUUUACUCUUAUUUCUCAUGGCACAUUGACUGAGGAAAAGCUAUGUAGGGUGGUAUAUGGCUGUGUGGUUCAGGGUCAAGGAUCAUAGUGGAGAAGGAAGCAAACAGGUCAGCGUGGAGCUGCAUGCAUGCAUGCAUAAUUAGCUUAAUUCGUCUCAUAAGUUUUUAUACUGAUGGUUACACUAUAUAAUUAAAGUGCACCUAACAUCAUCUUGCCUCUAUCCAAAUUGCAAAGAUUUAUAGUUGAUAUGCGGGCUUGCAUGCAACAUAAAACUGGGUGAUCCUUCGAAAUUCGGAAGCAACACUAUUGAUUGUUUUCUUUUAUUCAAAUAUUCUGUCUGACUACAGUCUCUUGAUGUCUUCGUAGGUAGUUAUGUUCAGUCUAAUGUUUGGUAAUUAUUAUGGCUGAUCGGCACCAUUCCGCCCUCAACUCGCUAAUGAUUCAACUAUUUUGUUAUUUUGGGAUCCUUUAUAUUUCUACAGUUUACGAUCGAAAUAAUCUUCAUACAGAUGGUCGAACUUUGUGAUUACACGAGUCAUAUUAACAUGAACUUCAUUUCAAGAGUCCCCCGUUUCAUCUAUGAUUGAAUAUUAUUGAAGUAAUAGAUAAUCUUUGUAUAUUUUUUAAGGCUUGCUCUCGCAUCUUUGUCCUUCACUAGGGAUUUUUUUUAUUUACUCACUAUGUAGUUUUUUUUAUAUUUUUUUCUCCACAAAGGAGUUUAGCUCAUGACUAUGUUGGCAAAAGGCAAAUCCUCCGAAACCACGCAUCCAGCUUAGUUGAGUUUAAAGUUUGCUGUCAAGCUGAUGGAUUUUUCCCAUACCUUCUUUUUGUUAAGAGUUAUUCCAUGUCUUUGUGUGAUUGUGUCACACAUAAAAUGUACAGUUAUGGGAGACAAUUUUAAGGAUAUCGGCCAAGUCAUUUACGAUGUUCUAGAUAAAGAUUUUUAUUUAUGAAGUUCUUGAUUUUUUUAAUGGGUACGCUCUGAGUAAAUGUUCUAUCUGAGCACACAUAUUGUACCAUGGCACUCAUUUUC